AUCUAGCAGUAGCCUGCAGUGCUGCAUUUAACCACUGCGCCACCUUGGCUCUAUUUAGGCCACCCCCAAAAUCCCCCCCCUCAUUUCCUUUCUUUCACUUAGUCAAAGAGUCGGAUUUCAGAUCCACAGGGAACCAGCCACACACAUUGUUUCAUUGUUUAGAGGUGGAGAGGUCCUGCUCUAAGGAAAUGUCUGUUUCCCCACAUUUAUUCCACUUUCCAUUUUUGCUCUCAUCCUCUGUUUUAUACCUUUGGAGAUCUCUACUUCUCGUCCUUUCUGAAUGUUAUUCAAACACAUGUAUAUCCACUGUAACCCUGGUUUCUGGAUCACCCCACCACAACUGUCCUUGUAGCAGGAUUUGCAGGGGAAACAGAUUUAUUUGCCUGUAAACAGAUUGGCCUGCAAGGAAAUGCGUGGUGGACGCUGGCUGCAGCCCUCACUUCACAAAGUCCACUGUGGGUGUUCCACAAAUGAUUACCUUUUUGGAAUCCAAACUCCUGAGACCGAGCAAAUACUUUUCUCCAGAAGAGGCUUUGUCAGGGUCAAAAUAUCUAGUUGUCUUUUCAGACCUGGUUCCCUCACCCGACGCGAGCAAAAUGGCACUGAUUGUCUCUGGGGUCCCUUUGCAAGCGUUUUAAAAGGAGGACCCUGCCUCUGUAUCUCUCUGCCCACCUGGUGGGAAUGGGAGGGCCAUGCCAGACUGAAGUGAGCAGGCACAAGGCAGUUCCCCCACCAAGUGGAGAGGAGAUCAGAGUCUCUGAUUGUGCUGGAGCGACAGGAGAACUGCAAAGAAGAGGAGGAGAGGCACCAUCGUCUUUGGGGGGGGGGGGGAGUCCUGCUGGAAGAAGAGCUGGCUGCUCAUUCGCUGUUCAGGGGCUGGGGGUGGUCUCAAAGGGCCACUUCCGGAUGGGUUGUUUCUCCAGCAAGAUGGUCCUGUUGAAUGCUACGUUGCGUGUCCUUGUGAAGAAAAGAUCCCCUUCUUGGUCUCUUCCACAUGGAAGUUCUGGAUUCUGAUCUGGACAUUAAAAGGGCAAUUCUGAAGCACUGACAGUCACAGGGCACGGGGGGGACGGGGGACUCUGGCUUCUGCACUGCAGGAUCUGCUUCCCGGGGACCCCGUUCUUAUUCUGAGGCACCAGAGCUGAGCAGCCUCGCCCAACAAAAGCCGUACGCUUUGUGGAGUGUGACUCCUGCUUUUCAUAAAUCGUCCUGGUGAUCUUGGACUAAAAUAGUAAAAGAUUCCAACACACAGUCUGGGUUUUCUUAUGCUGCAGUUCAACUCAACACCAAAAUGUAACUGACAAGUGUUUGGAUUUUGCCAUCUGUCUGCCACCAACACCCGUGCCAGCCCCCCACCCCCCACCCCUGCAGACGUAAAACAGGUCACCUUGUUGAUGUUCACAUGUGUCCCAUUGGAGUGGCAGCUUCACUAAGCGCCGGAUGGCUUCCUGGAUGGGGGGCUGGGGGCUCUGCUG